ensembl:antisense 1700025N23Rik uncharacterized LOC110296425
GUGACCCCAGCAUAGGAAAAGUAAGCACACAAGGCAACAUGUCAAACAUCUACGUUUCAGAAAGCUAUUAUGAAGUCACACUGGAUUCUGCAGCCUCCAGACUUAGAACCCUAGGUGGCCGUGAACAUGUGAUCCUCCUGCCUCAGUUUCCCAAGUGCUGGGAUUAGAGAAAUGAAAAUGGCUGGCUCUGAUUGUUACGCUCCAGCAGCAUCACGUGAUAUUGAUACCCCCCCUCCCCCCAUGGCUACUCCUGCGUUGUACAAACAGAGCCUAGUGAUGUCUCCUUUCUCUCUAGAAGCAGGGAAUUAGAAAUCUUAUAAAUGUAGGGGGAAAUACAGACACAGGAAGAAAAGGUCCCAGGCCCAGGGACUCUCCAGGGAGCACAGACCAUUGCAUAAAACCGAUCUGUGGGAAAUAUGAUGGCCUCAGCCCUGUCCCUUGACCACAAACUGAGGAGCAAACCCCACCUUGAGGCACAUGGUCUGACCUCUCCCUGUCUGUACUGGCUGGUUUUUGUGUGUUCACUAGAUACAAGUUAGAGUCACCAGAGAGGAAGGAGCCUCAGUUGAGGAAAUGCCUCCAUGAGAUCCAGCUGUAAGGCAUUUUCUCAAUUAGUGAUCAAGGCGGGGAGGGCUCAGCUCAAGGUGGGUGGUGCUGUCCCUGAGCUGGUGGUCCUGGGUUCUAUAAGAAGGCUGGCUAAGCAAGCCAGGGGAAGCAAGCAAGGAAGCAGCACCCCUCCACGGACUCUGUUUCAGCUCCUGCCUCUAGGUUCCUGCCCUGCUUGAGUUCCUGUCCUGACUUCCGUUGGUGAUGAACAGCAAUGUGGAAGUGUAAGCUGAAUAAACCCUUUCCUCCCCA